rnacentral:rRNA from 1 species
CAGCCGCCGCGGUAAUACGGAGGGUGCAAGCGUUAAUCGGAAUUACUGGGCGUAAAGCGCACGCAGGCGGUCUGUCAAGUCGGAUGUGAAAUCCCUGAGCUUAACUUAGGAAUUGCAUUCGAUACUGGUUAGCUAGAGUGUGGGAGAGGAUGGUAGAAUUCCAGGUGUAGCGGUGAAAUGCGUAGAGAUCUGGAGGAAUACCGGUGGCGAAGGCGGCCCCCUGGACAAAGACUGACGCUCAGGUGCGAAAGCGUGGGGAGCAAACAGGAUUAGAUACCCGCGUAGUCCCUGUCUCUUAUAC